rnacentral:rRNA from 1 species
CCUACGGGAGGCAGCAGUGGGGAAUAUUGGACAAUGGGCGAAAGCCUGAUCCAGCAAUUCCGCGUGUGUGAAGAAAGCCUUCGGGUUGUAAAGCACUUUAGUGGGGGAAGAAACAGCUUGGCCACACCAAGCCUUGACGGUACCCCAAGAAUAAGCACCGGCUAACUCUGUGCCAGCAGCCGCGGUAAUACAGAGGGUGCAAGCGUUAAUCGGAUUUACUGGGCGUAAAGGGUGCGUAGGUGGCUAUUUAAGUCGGAUGUGAAAGCCCGGGGCUCAACCUCGGAAUUGCAUUCGAUACUGAGUGGCUAGAGUUCGGUAGAGGGCGGCGGAAUUUCCGGUGUAGCGGUGAAAUGCGUAGAUAUCGGAAGGAACAUCAAUGGCGAAGGCAGCCGCCUGGGCCUGGACUGACACUGAGGCACGAAAGCGUGGGUAGCAAACAGGAUUAGAUACCCUGGUAGUCCACGCCGUAAACGAUGAGAACUUGACGUUGGUUCGUUUUACGAAUCGGUGUCGCAGCUACGACGAUAAGUUACUCCGCCGUCGGGUAGGUACGGCCGGCCGAACGGUUAGGUAAACGUACAAAUAGAAGUUAGUACGGCGUGAGACGUGCCGAACGGACGACGACGAGGGAGGUAGG